rnacentral:rRNA from 1 species
UACGGGGGGGGGCAAGCGUUGUUCGGAAUUACUGGGCGUAAAGGGCUCGUAGGCGGCCAACUAAGUCAGACGUGAAAUCCCUCGGCUUAACCGGGGAACUGCGUCUGAUACUGGAUGGCUAGAGGUUGGGAGAGGGAUGCGGAAUUCCAGGUGUAGCGGUGAAAUGCGUAGAUAUCUGGAGGAACACCGGUGGCGAAGGCGGCAUCCUGGACCAAUUCUGACGCUGAGACGCGAAAGCGUGGGGAGCGAACAGG